UACGUAGGGGGCAAGCGUUAUCCGGAUUUACUGGGUGUGAAGGGAGCGUAGACGGUAAAGCAAGUCCGGAGUGAAACCCCAUGGCUCAACCAUGGGCAUGCUCUGGAAACUGUUAAACUGGAGUGCAGGAGAGGUAAGCGGAAUUCCUGGUGUAGCGGUGAAAUGCGUAGAUACCAGGAGGAACACCAGUGGCGAAGGCGGCUUACUGGACUGUAACUGACGUUGAGGCUCGAAAGCGUGGGGAGCAAACA
rnacentral:rRNA from 1 species